ACCGCGAGGUAAAGAUGAA
rnacentral:snRNA from 1 species